AGCUUUAUUUCAAGCUUAAAUCUAAUCUGAUGUAGUCAGUAUUUCAAGUCAGGCUCUGUUCUUGACUGAAAACAGCGACAGACUCAGACAUUUAGAACAAACUAAGAGUCGGAUCAGCACAAAUACUGACACAGAGAUGUCUGCUGGCUCUGCGCUGCUCUGCUCCACUUUGCUGUUUGUCCAUGUCUUCGUCUCUGCAGACCAGAAAAACAUCACAGCUGAGUCUGGACAGGACGUCACUCUGACAUGUCGAGCUCCAAACAACAAAAUCAUAGUUGUACAGUGGAGCAGAGCUGACCUGGUAGAUAAACAUGUGCUUUUGUACCAGGAUGGUCACUUUGUUACAGACGACCAGCAUCCAUCUUUUAAGAACCGGGUGGAUCUGCAGGACAGACAGAUGAAGGAUGGAGACGUGUCUUUGAUUCUGAAGGAUGUGACGAUUAAUGACACUGGAACAUACGAGUGUGGUGUUUUCAUGAAUGAAACUCGCUCAUGGAAGAACAGCAUCCUCAUCAUGGCUUUUGUUGUCCCUCCAGGUGAGUGAGUAGAGUUGAGUGUGUGUGUGAUCAGAGGUGAAGCUGCUUCCUGCUUGUUGAUGUGUGUUUGUUGUAUGGAUGAGCUGGUGGAUGUCAGAGGUAGACAGAUGUUUCUCCAGCUGUUGUCUUUGUGGCUGGUAGUCUAGAGUUGUAGAGCAGCAUUGUUUGGGUAAGGUUAGAGCAGAAACAAAGACAUUUAUGAAUCAGUCUCUUCUUCUCUUGCUCUCUAACUCGUCUGUAAACAUGUGUGGGGAAACUCAAUGUUAAAGCCUACAGCUGGAGGGGGAGGGGAGGGGUGAAGCUGGUGGUUGUGAGUCUGUGAAAGUGAAUCCUGCCGGUGCCAUAGCUGCUGAAAACGUACUUAGUGCAGACACAAAACGUCCAUCAGCUUCAAAGUGUGUCAGAAAAAUGUCCACAUGAUGACUGAUGGAUGAGAGAGGUCCCAUUUUUGUUGUUGUGCACAAAUCAUUGAA